rnacentral:rRNA from 1 species
UACGUAGGGUGCAAGCGUUAAUCGGAAUUACUGGGCGUAAAGCGUGCGCAGGCGGUUUUGUAAGUCUGUCGUGAAAUCCCCGGGCUCAACCUGGGAAUUGCGAUGGAGACUGCAAGGCUAGAAUCUGGCAGAGGGGGGUAGAAUUCCACGUGUAGCAGUGAAAUGCGUAGAGAUGUGGAGGAACACCGAUGGCGAAGGCAGCCCCCUGGGGUCAAGA